UCAACUCUGAAGACAGAUCUACUAGCUGGCUUUGCUGGCUGCAGGCUGAAUAACUACAGACAACUCUCAACAACGGAUAUCUUGGCUCCCGUAACGAUGAAGAACGCAGCGAAUUGCGAUACGUAGUGUGUAUUGUUUUAAUUCCGUGAACCAUCGAAUCUUUGAACGCAAAUUGCGCUCGAGGCCUCGGCCAAGAGCAUGUCUGCCUCAGCGUCGGCUACUACCCUCAACCAACUUUCCUAUCGCAGGAUAGGGAAUGCCGGUUGGAUAUGGCCGUCCGGUCUGCCCUUCGGGUUGCCGGUCAGCUGAAAUACAUUCACGCUGUGGGAGC
rnacentral:rRNA from 1 species